UACGAAGGGGGCUAGCGUUGCUCGGAAUCAUUGGGCGUAAAGGGUGCGUAGGCGGCGUCUUAAGUCUGAUGUGAAAUUCCGGGGCUCAACCCCGAAACUGCAUUGGAUACUGGGAUGCUAGAGUCCUGGAGAGGAAACUGGAAUUUACGGUGUAGCAGUGAAAUGCGUAGAGAUCGUAAGGAAGACCAGUGGCGAAGGCGAGUUUCUGGACAGGUACUGACGCUGAGGCACGAAGGCCAGGGGAGCAACGGG
rnacentral:rRNA from 1 species